GUGCUCGCUUUAGCAGCACACAUACUAAAAUUGGAACGAUACUGGGACGAUUAGCAUGGCCCCUGUGCAAGGAUGACACGGAAAUUUGUGAAGUGUCUCAUAUUUUU